UAGAAUAUGGUGUAAUAGGUAGCACGGAGAGUUUUGAGUUCUUAGGUAUAGGUUCGAUUCCUGUGAUUCUAG
rnacentral:tRNA from 4 species